CAACACAAAGAACACAGGGAUGAAGUGCGAGGCUGAGGUUACCACCAGGGAAAUUGGCAUAAACAAGGACUCACAAGCUGAAGAAGAGGAGAAGCAGAAGAAAGAUAAGGUACAAAAAGGUAAGGAGACAAAGAAAGAAACUGAUAAGAAGGAGAGGAGUGAUAAGGAAAGAAAACCCAAUGAGAAGGACAAGAGCAGAGACGUUGACAAGCUGAACAGAAGUUAGAGAAGAUCAAUGGAAAAAUAGAAGCUCUUCUUGAGAAAAAAGAUGAAAUUGAGGAAGAUAAAAGAAGCCGAGAGCGGGAACAGCACUGUUCCUGAGAAAGAAAAGGAUGCCCCGAAGCCUGGUGCGGAGUAAUCCCUUUUGGGAACAGCAUCGUUCUAUAGUUUUUUGCGAGUAUGAUCCUUUUCCAUUGUAAUUAUAUGUUUCUUUUCAUAUAACUAUGGAUUAAUGAGAAUAGAAUGUGAAUUACUACCACCUUUGAUGAAUAAAACUACUAUGCAGUUUUACUUUUGUUCCAUUGCCUAUAAUUUCUUUUAUGACACUCGCAUUUAAAGCAGCCUUCAUGUUGCAUUUGCUUCAUUAAGUAGAAUCCAUUUAGUAUCUUCACUCCGCUGUUGUUUCAUAUCAUACAUCAUUUGAAUCCAUCAAUGAAACUAUUAGUAUCAUCCUAGGCAUUUAACACUGAUAUUUUGCUCUUGGUUCCCUGUUUGAUAGUGCUCGUUAGUUUUAACAUGGCGUGCCAGUGUCCAUCUGGCCUGCCAGCUAGACGUGCUGUCCAAACAUGAUAUGGAUUGUCCACUGCUGUUAGUCUUGAUGACAAAAAAAACUUCACAUUAUACCUGCACAUUCUUUGGACAUCCAUUUUCAGCGAUGGUUGUUCUUGCUGUGGACGAUGUCUUUUAGUGUUCCAGUGCCAUCAUCAUUGUUUUAGACUGUUCUGUGAUCACAAGGUGAAUGAUUUUGUUCAAGGAGAUGUUGCGUAUAGAUCUAUGCAUUGUCCUGGUAGUCUGUGGUAAGUAUUUUUCAUUUGCACUCUACAUAGGCUUUUUAACAGUUAUAAUUUUACUUGAGAAAAAUAAGACAAUGUUUAUAUGUGUGUAUCACUCUCGAAAGCAGAAUCCCAGCAAAUUUUUGUGACAACGAUUCUUGAUCAUUAGGUUUUACAGUAUCAGGUUAACCCAUUUAUCUUGCAGAACCUGCAAGCAACAGAGAUUCCUGCAAGGUUUUUUUUUGUUAGAAUUUGAACUCAGGAUGUGUUGUAUGCCCAACCACAGUCCCUUUGCUAGGAUUUGAACUGAGGAUGUGGUGUACUUAAUCAGUAUCCCUGGUCCGAAUCUUUGUCAACACACUAAAUAAAGGCAGAAAUUUUGGAA